rnacentral:rRNA from 1 species
UACGUAGGUGACCAGCGUUGUCCGGAUUUACUGGGCGUAAAGAGCGCGCAGGCGGUCGUUCAAGUCGAGUGUGAAAGCCCCCGGCCCAACUGGGGAGGGUCACUCGAUACUGAUCGACUGGAAGGCAGGAGAGGGAAGCGGAAUUCCCGGUGUAGUGGUGAAAUGCGUAGAUAUCGGGAGGAACAUCAGUGGCGAAGGCGGCUGCCUGGCCCAAUACUGACACUCAGGUGCGACAGCGUGGGGAGCAAACAGG